GGCGGACCGCUCUGGGCGUGGGCGCCUCGGCUCGGGGCGGGUCCCCAGCCGGAGGCAGAUGUACGCCUGUGGCCACCCAGAAGAGGCGGCGGGGCGCCUGAGACGUUCGCUUGGGAAAAUUAGCGGCGGCGUGGUGUGAGGACUGAGCUUCGGGGUCGCGUAGCCCAGGUCUGGAGGCCCAGGCAGCCCACGCGCACGCGCACGCGCCCCGCUCUCCCGCUCCGGGACCCUCGGGACCCUUCUUCAGAGACCCGGGCGGACCAUCACCGGCUCCAUGGAGAACAUUUUGGGCUCUCAGACUUGAGUCCAGACGUGCAUCGCUUCUGGAAGCUCUGAGGGGAGCCAGCUGCCAUAUCAUGAAGACACUCAAGCAGCCCUAUGGAGAGGUCCAUAUGGAAAGGAACUGAGGCCACCUGCCAACAACCAGCACUGACUUGCCAGCAAAUUGAUCACCAGGGACUGCAUCCUGCACCUACCUUGCCAAGUUGGUUGCUGUUUGGGUUUGGCCAAUGGAAAGCACUGGCAGAAGAUAAUCUCUGAGGGCACCCAACAUGAAGUCUUCAGUAGCCUAUCAAUACUCAGCACCUUUGGUUCAGCUACUCAGUGAUGUCACGUAGGCUCCAGACUCCUCACAUUUUUCUGCUCUCAUGCUUGGUGUAUUAUAAUGUUUUUCCUCUUGGUAACAAUACAGCUGCCUCAGCUCCAAACAUCACAUCCUCAAACAACAAAGUCAAAAAGCAAGCAAGAAAGAAAGACUGAGAGCUUCUCCUCAUGUAUCUCUUUCUAUCAGAAAGAACAAUAUUUCCAGAAGCUCCUCAGUUGACUUUGAUUUUUUCUUUUGUUUCAGUGACUGCAACUGUGUCACUCACCUCUUCUAAAUUAAUCACAAUAAAAGAGAAUUGACAUUUCUAUUGAA